GCUUAACACCUUAUCUCAAAGAUGAUGGGCAAACUGAGACCCCAAGCCCUGGAGAGAUGUGUUCAGACAGAUGUGCAAGUCCCCCCUGCUCCAGCCCACUGUGGCUCCGGGCUUCAGUCUUCAGUUGGCCUUUGUUCUGCCACUUUCUCCUGGAAGUCACGCCUCUCUCUCUUCCUGCCUCCCACAUCACAGGAGUCUGCACGCACCCAACCAGCUCAAAAGGCUCUGACAGAUGUG
rnacentral:lncRNA from 10 species